rnacentral:rRNA from 1 species
GAUGAACGCUGGCGGCGUGCCUAAUACAUGCAAGUCGAGCGAACGGACGAGAAGCUUGCUUCUCUGAUGUUAGCGGCGGACGGGUGAGUAACACGUGGAUAACCUACCUAUAAGACUGGGAUAACUUCGGGAAACCGGAGCUAAUACCGGAUGAUAUUUUGAACCGCAUGGUUCAAAAGUGAAAGACGGUCUUGCUGUCACUUAUAGAUGGAUCCGCGCUGCAUUAGCUAGUUGGUAAGGUAACGGCUUACCAAGGCAACGAUGCAUAGCCGACCUGAGAGGGUGAUCGGCCACACUGGAACUGAGACACGGUCCAGACUUCUACGGGAGGCAGCAGUAGGGAAUCUUCCGCAAUGGGCGAAGGCCUGACGGAGCAACGCCGCGUGAGUGAUGAAGGUCUUCGGAUCGUAAAACUCUGUUAUUAGGGAAGAACAUAUGUGUAAGUAACUGUGCACAUCUUGACGGUACCUAAUCAGAAAGCCACGGCUAACUACGUG